UAUGGUAAGCUUACUGUCUGUUUUGAGGGGGA
rnacentral:piRNA from 1 species